CGACCGGCGCACGGGUGAGUAACGCGUAUGCAACCUGCCCGUUUCAGCGGGAUAACCCCGGAGAAAUCCGGCCUAAUACCGCAUGUGGCCGAGGGGAGGCAUCUUCUUUCGGCCAAAGGAGGCGACUCCGGAGACGGAUGGGCAUGCGUGACAUUAGCUUGUUGGCGGGGUAACGGCCCACCAAGGCGACGAUGUCUAGGGGUUCUGAGAGGAAGGUCCCCCACACUGGUACUGAGACACGGACCAGACUCCUACGGAAGGCAGCAG
rnacentral:rRNA from 1 species